rnacentral:rRNA from 1 species
CCUACGGGAGGCAGCAGUGAGGAAUAUUGGUCAAUGGCCGUAAGGCUGAACCAGCCAAGUCGCGUGAAGGAAGAAGGAUCUAUGGUUUGUAAACUUCUUUUAUAGGGGAAUAAAGGUAUCCACGUGUGGAUAUUUGCAUGUACCCUAUGAAUAAGCAUCGGCUAACUCCGUGCCAGCAGCCGCGGUAAUACGGAGGAUGCGAGCGUUAUCCGGAUUUAUUGGGUUUAAAGGGUGCGUAGGUUGUUGUUUAAGUCAGCGGUGAAAGUUUGUGGCUCAACCAUAAAAUUGCCGUUGAAACUGGAAGACGUGAGUGUGUGUGAGGUAGGCGGAAUGCGUGGUGUAGCGGUGAAAUGCAUAGAUAUCACGCAGAACUCCGAUUGCGAAGGCAGCUUACUAAGCCAUAACUGACACUGAAGCACGAAAGCGUGGGGAUCAAACAGGAUUAGAUACCCGUGUAGUC